GGAUGUAGUGGUCAAGCCCUCAACCAACACGGCUACCAUCUCUCUCUUACUCUGCCUCCUAUGCCUACACUACACCUGCCUGGCUCAGGCUCCUUCUCGGCCACAAAGUCACAUCUCCCCUGACAACCAGCUGGAAAUCCGUUGCAAUUACCAGAGAAACAUUCACACUGUGCAAAUCUGAGCAAGCACAAGAUUGGAAUGUUGGUCCCCAUUCUGAUGUCACCAUCCUGAGACUUGACAUGCAAGCCUAGUAACCUUCACAGGGCUUCCGAUUGUAGGUGGAGUGUACCUCUACUCCCACUGAUGGGCUUGCCAUUGGCUAACCGAGCUGUGCACUUGUGGCCAGGGAAGGGUUAACAGAAGAUGUGUGUAUCUAAAGACACUCAGGCGGGACCAAGGCUGGAGUGCAUUUUCCCCUCCAAAGUUCCUCCUUGGGGCCAAGCUGAAGCUUAAGUUAAUUUCCUUCAACUCUUCUAUCAACCUUCCUCAACUUCACUUCUCCUGAGAGCAGCCCCCUGAUGAAACAUUGUCACAAUAGUUCCCCAGGAAUAGUAACAAAUGGUUGUUGUCUUAAGCCACUUGGGUUUUGAGGUGUUCUGUUACAUGCAUUACGAGCUGAUACAAUUAGAACAUAUAGCACAUGGACUAUUAUCCAGCUGUUAAAAAUGGCAGAAGCUCAAUAUACUGACUCUAAAGCGUGCCGACAGAGCAAUUUUGUUGAAAAAAAAAAAAAAGGUCACCAAAAAGCAUGUUUAGCAACCUUCUUUCUGUUAAAACAGACAGACAGACCCCUGUUCCCAUCCCAAUAUUCCACUAAAGAAAAAUGGCUGGCUGGCUCUUAAGGACUUCACAGUGUCCCUGUGCAGGGUGUGUGUGUGUGUGUGUGUGUGUGUGUGUGUGUGUGUGUGUGUGUGUGUGUUUUAAGGGAGUAAAUUUUCACUUGUUCUUGAUUACAGAGGUUUCUAUCUAUCAUGGUAGGGAGGGUGUGGUGGAUCAGCUUGAAUCAUGGCAGAUAGGACAGGAAAUCGAGUAGAGCAGUGACCGGAAGGGAUGAAGGCAAAUACAGUCCCCUGUAAACUAUUUCCUCCCACACCUUCAGCAGACCCACCACCUCCUCAAACAGUGCCACCAGUGGGGACCAAGUAUUCAUCAGAUGAGCUUGUGGAGGACAUGUCAUAUUUAAACCAUGACAUCCAUUAUGUAAAAUGAUAUAGUACUUACAUAGAACCUACAUACAUUUUUCCUACACAGUUUGAACUACCUCUAAAUUAUUUAUAAUGCCAAUACAAUGGAAACACUAAAUUGUUAUUUACUGUAUUAUUAUUAUUAUUAUUAUUAUUAUUUUAAUAUGUGUGUGUUGGUGUGUGCAUGUAUGCUAUGUGUGCAAGUGCAUGCAAGUGCCUACAGAGGCCAGAAGAGGGCAUCAGAUCUCCUGGAACUGGUUACAAAUGAUGGCAAACAGUCCAACAUGGGUGCUCUGUGCACAUGCCACAACACACAUGUGGAGGUCAGAGGACAACUUGUGAAAGUCCCUUCGGCUCUCUCCUUCCACCAUCCAGGGAUCAAACACGGGUCAUCAGCUUGGCAGGAAACACCUUUACCCAGUGAAACAUUUUGCCAGCCCAAGAACACUCUCAUCACCGAUACAAAAUAAUAAUAAUAAUAAUAAUAAAAAUAAAGUUCAGACAGUGGGAUGACAGGAGCAUGACCUCACCUGGAAGUCAAGAAGCAAUGACAACAAGACACGGCCACAUUUUGUCUACACACAGGAAGUAACGAGAGAAAACAGGAAGUGUUGCAAGGCUGUAAACCUUCGCAGCCCACCAGCAGUGACGUACUUCCUAUAGCAAGACUCUGUGGGCUAAAGGUUCCAUAACCUCCCCCAAAUAACUCCACCAACUGGAGACCAUGUGUUCAAAUAAAGGAGCCUACAGUGGACGUUUUUCAUUCAAACCAUCACAACCAGCGCCCACUCUACCACAUGUCCUGGCUAGAGAGGGUCCUUUCAUGUGUGUCUGCUCAGCUCUUACAUUCCCUCCUGUCAAGACCCAGUUCAGCAUCAUCUCCUCUGAGAAACAUUUCCUGAUUCUCUCACCAACAAAUACAUACAGGAAGGACAGAGAGGAGCAGGGAGAAAGGAGGGGAGAAGGAGAAAAGGAAGAAGGGAAGAGAUCCAUCACCAUCCCACUAGAGAAGGGAAGACCUCCAAAGCUGACGAUUGCCCCAUUCUCUAUGCAUGAAUGUUAUGUAAAAGUCUAAAGAUUUGGGGGAAGAAAUAAUCACAGAAGGAAUCCAACACAAAACAUGCAGUUGGGCUGGGUAUAAUCAACAGUCUUUCCUUGGGAUUUGGGGCUGUUCCAAUUAAUUUCUUACAAAAGAUAAAUUCUUUGUGGUAGUUCAAUUAGUAAAAUAUUUACAUCAGGGACAUGAGGACCUGAGUUCAAUCUCCAGAACCUAAAGUAAAACCGGGCAUGGCGGUGUGAGCUUGUAAUCCUAACACAGAGGAGGUAGAAGUAGAAGUGGUCCCUGGGGUUCGCUGGCCAGCAAGUUUAUCCUAAUUGGUGAAAUCCAGGCCGAUGAGAAAAACUGUCUCAAAGGAGGUAGAUAGUGUUUCUGAGGCUCUCCUCUGACCAUCACACAAAUGUACAUACAUGUGUACCUGUGUGCGCACACAUUUCUUAAUAUUUAUUUUUAAUGUUGUGUGCGUAUGAGCAUGUGAGCACAGAUGCCAGAGGAGGCCAGAGGCAUCAG